rnacentral:rRNA from 1 species
GACGAACGCUGGCGGCGUGCCUAAUACAUGCAAGUCGAGCGGAUGAUGGAGGAGCUUGCUCCUCCUGAUUCAGCGGCGGACGGGUGAGUAACACGUGGGCAACCUGCCCUGUAGAUUGGGAUAACUCCGGGAAACCGGGGCUAAUACCGAAUAAUCCACCGGACCUCAUGGUCUGGUGUUGAAAGACGGCAUCUCGCUGUCACUACAGGAUGGGCCCGCGGCGCAUUAGCUAGUUGGUGAGGUAACGGCUCACCAAGGCCACGAUGCGUAGCCGACCUGGGAGGGUGAGCGGCACCGCUGGGACUGAGACACGGCCCAGACUCCUACGGGAGGCAGCAGUAGGGAAUCUUCCACAAUGGACGAAAGUCUGAUGGAGCAACGCCGCGUGAGUGAAGAAGGUUCUCGGAUCGUAAAACUCUGUUGUGAGGGAAGAACAAGUACCGGAGUAACUGCCGGUACCUUGACGGUACCUCAUUAGAAAGCCACGGCUAACUACGUGCCAGCAGCCGCCGUAAAAC